rnacentral:tRNA from 1 species
GGAGAGUUGGCAGAAUGGUAUUGCCCCGGUCCCGAAAACCGAGUGAGCCGCAAGGCUGUCAGAGUUCGAAUCUCUGGCUCUCCGCCA